rnacentral:antisense_RNA from 1 species
GUCUAUGGGCGGGCCGUGGCAGGGGUGCCGCGAGGCUCGCCGGUUUUGGUUUGACGCCGGUCUUCCAACCUUGUCACUGUGCCCGCUCACCCCU